rnacentral:rRNA from 1 species
CCUACGGGGAGCAGCAGUGAGGAAUAUUGGUCAAUGGCCGCAGGGCUGAACCAGCCAAGUCGCGUGAGGGAUGACGGUCCUAUGGAUUGUAAACCUCUUUUGUCAGGGAGCAAAGGGCGCCACGUGUGGCGCUUUGCGAGUACCUGAAGAAAAAGCAUCGGCUAACUCCGGGCCAGCAGCCGCGGUAAUACGGAGGAUGCGAGCGUUAUCCGGUUUUAUUGGGGUUAAAGGGUGCGCAGGCGGAAGGUCAAGUCAGCGGUAAAAUUUCGGGGCUCAACCCCGUCGUGCCGUUGAAACUGGCGUUCUUGAGUGAGCGAGAAGUAUGCGGAAUGCGUGGUGUAGCGGUGAAAUGCAUAGAUAUCACGCAGAACUCCGAUUGCGAAGGCAGCAUACCGGCGCUCAACUGACGCUCAUGCACGAAAGUGUGGGUAUCGAACAGGAUUAGAUACCCCAGUAGUC